AGUCUCUUGGAAUUGUAUAUGAGAUAAAGCCUGCCCAGUGAAACAAAUUUAAACGGCCGCGGUAUCCUGACCGUGCAAAGGUAGCAUAAUAAUUUGUCUUGUAAUUUAAGACUUGAAUGAAUGGUUAAAUGAAAAAAACUCUUUUCCUUUUUUUAAAAUUAAAUAUAAUUUUAAGUAAAAAUGCUUAAAUAAAAUAAAAAGACAAGAAGACCCUAUAGAUUUUUAUUUUAAAUAUAAUAUAAAAAAAUUUAACUGGGGCGGUUAGAAAAUAUUAAAAACUUUUCUUUAAAAUUGGUUUAAAAACCUUAUAAUCCUAAUGGAAUAAGAAAAAGUUACCUUAGGGAUAACAGACUAAUUUUAUUUUAGAGUUCAUAUCGAAAAUAAAGUUUGGCACCUCGAUGUUGGCUUAGAAUAUUUUUAUCUUGAAGAAGGGAUAAAAAAUGGUUUGUUCAACCAUUAAAUUUCU
rnacentral:rRNA from 1 species